rnacentral:rRNA from 1 species
GACGAACGCUGGCGGCGUGCCUAAUACAUGCAAGUCGAGCGAAGUUUUUCUGGUGCUUGCACUAGAAAAACUUAGCGGCGAACGGGUGAGUAACACGUAAAGAACCUGCCUCAUAGACUGGGACAACUAUUGGAAACGAUAGCUAAUACCGGAUAACAGCAUUAACUGCAUGGUUGAUGUUUAAAAGUCGGUUUUGCUAACACUAUGAGAUGGCUUUGCGGUGCAUUAGCUAGUUGGUGGGGUAAAGGCCUACCAAGGCGACGAUGCAUAGCCGACCUGAGAGGGUGAUCGGCCACACUGGGACUGAGACACGGCCCAGACUCCUACGGGAGGCAGCAGUAGGGAAUCUUCCGCAAUGGGCGAAAGCCUGACGGAGCAACGCCGCGUGAGUGAAGAAGGAUUUCGGUUCGUAAAGCUCUGUUGUUAGGGAAGAAUGAUUGUGUAGUAACUAUACACAGUAGAGACGGUACCUAACCAGAAAGCCACGGCUAACUACGUG